rnacentral:rRNA from 1 species
AUUGAACGCUGGCGGCAGGCCUAACACAUGCAAGUCGAGCGGAUGAAGGGAGCUUGCUCCUGGAUUCAGCGGCGGACGGGUGAGUAAUGCCUAGGAAUCUGCCUGGUAGUGGGGGAUAACGUCCGGAAACGGGCGCUAAUACCGCAUACGUCCUGAGGGAGAAAGUGGGGGAUCUUCGGACCUCACGCUAUCAGAUGAGCCUAGGUCGGAUUAGCUAGGUGGUGGGGUAAGGCCUACCAAGGAGACGAUCCGUAACUGGUCUGAGAGGAUGAUCAGUCACACUGGAACUGAGACACGGUCCAGACUCCUACGGGAGGCAGCAGUGGGGAAUAUUGGACAAUGGGCGAAAGCCUGAUCCAGCCAUGCCGCGUGUGUGAAGAAGGUCUUCGGAUUGUAAAGCACUUUAAGUUGGGAGGAAGGGCAGUAAGUUAAUACCUUGCUGUUUUGACGUUACCAACAGAAUAAGCACCGGCUAACUUCGUG